UUUUGUCUUGUCCUAUUGAUUUGUAAGAGCUCUUUGUAUAUUUUGAUUAAGAGUUCUUUGUCAGAUUUAUGUAUUGCAAAUAUCUCCUUCCAUUCUGAGGUUACCUUUUAAAUCUUGUAAUGUUAUCCUCGGAGGAACAGAAAUGCUUAAUCUUAAUAGAGUCCUACUUAUCAACAUUUCUCCUUUUUGAACCUUUUGUGUCCUGAUUAAGAAAUGUUUGCCUGCUCCAAGGUCAUAAAAAUAUUCUAUUUUUCAAAGUCUUGUUGUUUGUGCCUUUUGCAUUUAGAACUGCAAUUCAUUCUGAGUUUGAAAGGAGGUGGGAGUCAGAUGAACUAUUUUCUAUAUGGAUAGAAAAUUUAUUCCUCAUUUAUUGAGGGAAGAAAAUGUUCCCUCUGUACUAUAGUAUCUUUUUUGCAUAAAUCAAGUAUCCAUACAAAUAACCAUACAUAACUGUUCCUAGACCCUAUAUUUGGGAACUAAAAAUAAAAUUCUAAACCCCUUAAUGACUGAACAAACCCCCUCUUGGCCAAGGAGACCCCAGAAACACCUUAAAAACUAAGUUCCAUGAUGGGACAGGUGGUCAGACAUGUCUCAUUAAACUCUCUUCCUUUUGGGGUUCUCUUUCUCUAGCAGCUAAACAAGCUCCAGCCUUGAGAUAAGCAAUAUUAAAGCAAUUACAACCCAUCCAGCUCACCGAGGCUGAGUAACUGAACGCCUGUUCCACCAGCCACAACUACAGCACUGGCUCUGGCUGGUUUACAGAGGCUGUGCACUUGAAUCCCUUCAUGUCCUGAAAAUACCUCUUGACGUAUAGGGCCUGACUGUAAUACAUUUAAAUGUUCAGUCUCCACCCCAAGGUAGACAUAAGUUGUAUGUUACAUACAUGUGGGUUCAGCACACAUGCAUCAGGACCACCUCAUGAAUACUCCUAGCUCCUCCUAUAACCUGUUGAAGAUGCAUGUUUAUCCAACCCAUUUAGCACAAAGCUGCUGCCCUAAUCUCUCCUUCAGAGUGCCUGUCUCUGGCUUUGGCCAAAGGCAAGCUUCCUGGUCUAAGGGAUGGCCACGUUGAUGGCUGUAACCAUCAAGUCUCCUUUUCCAAACUUAUAGAUUGUGUGAUUUUUAAGUUAGCAAUGUCUUUUUUUACACUGAUCUGUCCAUUCGUGUGCAAACAUCACACCGUCUUAAUUCCUCUAGCUUUCUAACAGAUCUUUCCUUCGGACAGAGUGAGUAGUCCAGUUUUAUUCUUCUUCCACAAAGAAUUUGGGCCUUCGGAUUUCCUACAUUAACAAAAAACCCUGCUCUUAGCUGGGAGUGGUGGCAGGUGCCUGUGAUCCCAGCUACUCAGGAGGCUGAGGCAGGAUAAUUGCUUGAAUCCGGGAGGUGGAGGUUGCAGUGAGCUGAGAGAUCGCGACACUGUACUCCAGCCUGGGCCACAGAAUGAAACUCUGUCUCAAAAAAUAAAAAUAAAAUUUUAAAAAACCCUGCUCUUUAAAAAUUUCAAUAUAGCUCUUACAUAUUUCAUGUGCUUAAAACUGUUUGUAUUCCCUUGUCUGAAAACUUUUAUUAAUAUAUUUUAAUCCUUUUGAACUAUUGGUCUUUUUGUUAUUGAUUUAUAGGAGUUCUUCAUAAAUUAGGAAAAUUAGCUCCUUGUCUACGAUAUGAGUUGUAAAUAUUUUCCCACAUUUCCAUUUGUCUUUAGACUUGGAAAUGCGUUGCCCACAUUAUUUUAUUUUUAUGUGUGUCAAUCUUUUCCAGGUUUUUGUGUCUUUCUUAGAAAGGCCUUCCUCACUCCAAGGUUGUCAUUACAACUGUUUAGAAACAUGCAUUUGUACUGAGAAGAGAGCAGCUGUUUUGCCAGGAUGAUGGAAUGUGGGAAGAUCCCUUCUGUUACGUAUUUCCUCUAGUAUUGCUAUCACAUAUGGGGAUACUAUUUUAAAAUAAAUGCCAUGGCCAAAGCAUGGUGUUGGUGCUUCUGAAAUGUUCUAGAACCAUGUUACUAGCUAUGACACGGACCCCUCCAUGCCUUGAUGAUGACUAGGCCUAAAGACCCUUCACCUACACAGGCCACUCAUGGUAUUGAGAGGUGCCUUAGCAACAGAUAAUCAUUAUUAUACCUUUUCUUAAAUUUGACAAAGUAAGGGAUUUGAACUGCAGUGGGUUCAGUCUGCCAGCAGUUCACAUUCUAACCCCUCCUAGAGGUGGGGGUGGGGGGGAAUGUAAAUUGUGUUGUAAUUCUGUGUUCUUUCUCAUAGCAGGCACUCCAGCAUCAGUCCCAUAAAACCUGGACUUACUACAGUAUCUACCUAGGAAGCACCAAAUAGCAUCUUGCACUGAUACCACGCUCUUAGAAGAGUCCAGCUGCUGGACGCAACCUGCAGAGGGACCGUAGAGAAGAUAAGGCUGGAGUGGGAAAGGAAGAAGAGGGAGUGAGGGUUUGGAACGGGAUGGUGCUGGAGGCAAUUAGGUAAUAACUUACCUGAGGACAACUUGAACCCAGAGCACUGUCUUUCAGAAGUCUACCAGCAUUACAGAAAACGCCUCUCUAAUUUUGGCCGUGGCUCCAACAGUAACUCAGAAAGAAGGCAAGACACUGGACAAGUAGCUGCAGCGCUCUUAGAGGUCACUGUGGAGGUGAGGAAGGCACAGCAGAGUGGAAAGGGCCCAAGCUUUGCCAACAGUAGAACCUGGACUUCAGCCUUCUCU